UGCCAUCAUGCGUAUCCGGAUUGGGCUUUGUUCACAGACUGAACUAAUUGAGCUGCAUUCCAGAUCCAACGGCAAACCUUCAUGGGCGUUCUGGUCAUUGCAACCUUAGGGGUAGGUUUGCAAACCCAUAGAGGGGUUUGCGGGUGGGAGAGUGAUUUCUGGGAAUGGAAAUCCCAUCCCGUGAUUUCCCUCCGUCAUCUCUGUUUUCCCCCAUCUCACCUCUUUCAGACUCUCUUUCUUCCAACUCUCCAUCUCUCUCAACCCUCCCCAUCUUCCCCUUCUCCGUAAAACCCAGAGGCUGAGAGGCCCGAGUCUACAUCCCAACUCGCCGUUCCGCCGCCGUCGACUGAGAGAACAUCAUCGAUCCGACUUUUGGAUCGAUUUCCUUGCCACCUCGUUCACAGUGUUGGGAGCGAUGGCUAUCCCACCGAUAGGCCGAUCUCUUCCAAGUCGGUGGAAGGUGAGAGAGAGAGAAAUGCCGAUCUUUUUCAGGAAUACUGAGGGUGGAAGUUCCUUGAACUGAUAAUCUGGCCUUUCCCAACUCAAGACAAGUUAUGUUGUUGUGCUGCGCCCGAGUCAUGGCAACCAUGUCACAGUCCGACUCCAGACGGACGGUUAUAUUCUUGGUGGUGGGAUAGUCACAUUCGACAGGAGAAUCUUACAGGUCUUGAUAUUUUUCCCUAAAAUUUAUCUGUUUAGUAGGACAAAUCAUUUUUUUUCUUUUCAGAUGCAGAUAUAAGCUAUCAGUUGUAUGUGCACUAGGCAUAUAGCUACUACCUACGUGUGAUGCCAAGUCAUACCAAUAAGACACGUCAUUUAUGUUUUAAUGCCAACAUAAAGAUGUUAAGUGA